AUUGAACGCUGGCGGUAUGCUUAACACAUGCAAGUCGAACGAUGAGAAAGAGCUUGCUCUUUCGAUUAGUGGCGGACGGGUGCGUAACGCGUAGGCAUCUACCUAUUAGUGGGGGACAACUUAGGGAAACUUAAGCUAAUACCGCAUACGCCCUACGGGGGAAAGGAGGGGAUCGCAAGACCUUUCGCUAAUAGAUGAGCCUGCGUAGGAUUAGCUAGUUGGUGGGGUAAAGGCUAACCAAGGCGACGAACCUUAACUGGUUUGAGAGAAUGAUCAGUCAAAGUGGAACUGAGACACGGGCCAGACUCCUACGGGAGGCAGCAGUGGGGAACAUUGGACAAUGGGCGAAAGCCUGAUCCAGCAAUACCGCGUGUGGGAAGAAGGCCUUAGGGUUGUAAAGCACUUUAAAUUGGAAGGAAAAAUUCGUGGCUAAUAUCCGCGAACUUGACAUUACCUUUAGAAGAAGCACCGGCUAACUCCGUGCCAGCCGCCGCCGUAA
rnacentral:rRNA from 1 species